UUUAUAUGAGAGUUUGAUCCUGGCUCAGGAUGAACGCUGGCGGCGUGCCUAAUACAUGCAAGUCGAACGAGUUCUCGUUGAUGAUCGGUGCUUGCACCGAGAUUCAACAUGGAACGAGUGGCGGACGGGUGAGUAACACGUGGGUAACCUGCCCUUAAGUGGGGGAUAACAUUUGGAAACAGAUGCUAAUACCGCAUAGAUCCAAGAACCGCAUGGUUCUUGGCUGAAAGAUGGCGUAAGCUAUCGCUUUUGGAUGGACCCGCGGCGUAUU
rnacentral:rRNA from 1 species